AAAAGGCGGAGCCACGAACCAGGCUCCUGGUCUUCAAGAAGAUUUCGACUAACCAAGUCCACAGACCACCCCCACGCAGGGGUCUCUAAGCAAGCCCCACGAGGGUCUGUCCCAGCCCACACCGCGGACAAAGCAGGCCCAAGACAGAGGCUGAUCGGUGAGCUGACCUCAACAGCCCCACGUCACGGGUGGGCAAACGGAGGUGCAGCGGCUCCCGCCAGGUGAAGCCAGGGUCCCAAGUCCCCAAGCGCGACUCAAUGUCCCCUCUGAGGCCUCCUCUCACCGCCCAAUGCCCCACCCACGGAUUCAAAUGCCUCCCACGGAUGCCCCCAACCGCCGGCCCUUCUGGCUUGCAUCCCGGGGGCGCGCAUCCCCACCUGGCCCCCUCCCCACUAGCUCCCCAGCGUCAGCCUCCAGAGGCCGCGGGGCAGGGCUGGGGGGAACUCAGAUCCCCAGGCUGGCUUUUGCUCUCCCUCAAUUCCGGAAAAGCUUGAGGACUCCCGGUGGCGGGGGAUGGGGGGUCGGCUAGCAGGGCGCUGUGUGACCCUUGCCCCUCGCCGCCCCUCCUGGCUCUCAAAUGAGGGAGAGAGCGGCACCAUCCCCGCGGUCCUCUUGAAGCCGAAAGGUAGAUCCCUGCCCCGUUCCCGCCGUCCUG
rnacentral:lncRNA from 1 species